ensembl:lncRNA
ACAAAAUGUGGUCUAGCCAUGCAAUGGAAUAUUAUUCUGCCAUAAAAAGGAAUGAAGCACUGAUACAUGCCACAAAUGGAUGAACCUCGAAAACACUAUUCUAGGCGAAAGAAGCAGGGAAGAAGGACGACACAGGGCAACUACAGGAGGGAAAAAGUAAAGAUGGAAGCCACACCGAGGAGGAGAGAGAAGCUUUCGAUGAUGAACCAAGAACGUCAUAGAGUUGGAAUCCUACAGUAUGUAACCUUUUCAGAUCGGCCUUGUUCACUUGGUAAUAUGCAUUGCUGGGAAAGCUGUACGAGGUCUGGAGCGCGGGGCAUCCCGGGAUCAGCUCCCUGCUGCCACAACCCCACUGGUGUUAUUAGUAUCCUCAUCAGAAUGACGUCUUUUCCAGCAGCUUGUUUCUAGCACGUUUCUGAGUUUCUACAGCCCAUCCAGAUCUAGGCCCCUGGUCACAUCCCAGAGCCACCCCCACCACAGACACAAGGCCCCUCAGUGCCAGGCCCCCUUGGUGGAUCUCAAAUGGUUUUGCAUGAGCCCCACCCCACAUAAGGCAGCAGAAGCAGGCUCUUACCCUAUUCGGCAGAUGGGCAGGCUGUGGCUCAGAGAAGCUGAGUGGCUGGCAUAAAAUGGCACAGGAUCUCCUCUACAACCACCUACAACCACCCUCCAUACAGCAAGCCCCUCAGCUUCCCUUUCCACCCAAAGGUCUGGCUCCCACUCUUGGAUGAAGAGAAGGAGCGUCUGAACCCAAAAUUCCUUACAGCACAAUAGACAACUGAAAAACAACUCAACAGAAUUUUAAUUAUUCACAGAAAACGUGUACUGUGUACAAGGUAUUGACCAAAGAACUUUAUAAAUACUAACUCAUUUUCUCCUUAUAACUACCUUAAUGAAGCAGGUACAAUUAUUAUCCCCAUUUUAUAGGUGAGGAAACUGAGGCAGGGAGAGAGUAACUGGCCCAGGGCCACACAGCUAGGAGGCCAGAGAGCCGGCAGUGGCCCACACUUUUAGACACUGCACUCUGCUACCUGCGGAUUUUUUGUUUGUACCAUUUUCCAGUUAUUAAUUUUUAAACAGUUUUAUUGAGGUAUAAUUUAAUGGUG